GACGAACGCUGGCGGCGUGCUUAACACAUGCAAGUCGAACGGAAAGGCCCUGCUUUUGUGGGGUGCUCGAGUGGCGAACGGGUGAGUAACACGUGAGUAACCUGCCCUUGACUUUGGGAUAACUUCAGGAAACUGGGGCUAAUACCGGAUAGGAGCUCCUGCUGCAUGGUGGGGGUUGGAAAGUUUCGGCGGUUGGGGAUGGACUCGCGGCUUAUCAGCUUGUUGGUGGGGUAGUGGCUUACCAAGGCUUUGUCGGGUAGCCGGCCUGAGAGGGUGACCGGCCACAUUGGGACUGAGAUACGGCCCAGAAUCCUACGGGAGGCAGCAGUGGGGAAUAUUGCACAAUGGGCGGAAGCCUGAUGCAGCAACGCCGCGUGCGGGAUGACGGCCUUCGGGUUGUAAACCGCUUUCGCCUGUGACGAAGCGUGAGUGACGGUAAUGGGUAAAGAAGCACCGGCUAACUACGUG
rnacentral:rRNA from 1 species